rnacentral:lncRNA from 1 species
ACAUCCUCUAGUAUGUGCCACGUUGUCAUAAUACGUAAAGUCUUGCUUGAGAAUGCUCCGAGCACCUGGCUGUAGAAGGUAGAAUGGAAAUUGCAACAACAAAAUCCUAAUUCUAAUAGAAUACUAACAAUUCUUUAAUUAGACCAUAACAAUGCUAAGCAACCUUUAAUCAAAUUCAAAGAAAUCUCAAAAAAAUUUCAAAGAAAUAAUAAGAAAUCUUAAAGAAAUAUUAGAAUGAUCACAAAUAACUCUCGAAUAUAUCUCAAUUCAAUCUUAAUUUAAUCCUAGUUGAAAUCCUAUUAGACUUCAUUCAAACUUUAGGCCAAAACUAAUUAAAUCUUAAAUCAUAAAUAAAUCCUAAUAAAAUUUUAAACCCUAAAUCAAACCCUAAAUCGUAAACCAAAUCCAAACCAAAUCCUAAUCAAAUCCUAAAUUCUAAACCAAAUCCUAAAAAAACCCUAAAUCCUAAAUCAAACCUUCAAAAAAUCCUAAACCAAAUCCUAAAUCUUAAAUCAAAUUCCAACCAAAUCUUAAACUCUAAAUCUUAAAUCCUAAAUCAAAUCCUAACUAAAUCCUAAACCAAAUCCUAAAUCCUAAAUCAAAUUCUAACCAAACUCUAAAUCCUAAACCAAUCUCUAAUCAAACCCUAAAUCAAAUCUUUACCAAAUCCUAAAUGAAAUCCUAACCAAACUCUAAAUCCUAGUAAUUCUCACAACAAAUUCAAACCUCAAUAACUAAUGAAUGAACCAUUGGUCUUAAUUUAAAUUUUACACAUUU